ACAGGUUGGACAGCAGCUCUGAGAAGAUGAA
rnacentral:piRNA from 1 species